AACAAUAAGGAGAAACACUGAUGUAGUUGCCCUGGUGUGAGGGCGGGACAACCUGUCACUCACAUGUCAUCACAGCAAUAGCAAGCAACAACCAUCCAAUCAAUUCCUGAUGGACAAAAUCAAGUACAUUUUAGGGCUUUUCACACUUGAAAUAGUUCACUGUAAACGAAUGAAACGAAAUCCUGGGUUAUCUUUAUUCACGUUUCACACUGUUCAUACUAUACCCGGGGUUAACAGUUAAUCCUGGAUAUAAGCUACCGUUUUCCACUGCACAUACCUAAACCCUGGGAUAAAGUCCUUAUCUGCAUAUUCGCGGUGUCACUGACUGGACAAACGCAGCACGUGACCUGUUUACAUAAAGGCUCUAGCAUUGCGCGUCCUCAUACUAGGCUACACAUUGCUGACUGUAAUAUCAAGUUUUUUUUUCUGAGUGAACUUUUCGAGCUAUAAAGAGAUUGUCUACAUGGGUUCUCCUGGCUAUGGUUGACUGCCAGCUGGUAGCGGAUGACAGGUGGGUCCACAGUGGUGUCGAUAGUGCCCCUGCACUCGGCGUUAUUGCGCUCCCCGUUCAGGGCCAGGCCAUUGGGGUCAAAGCCUGCCCAAUCUGCGGUGCACAGGUUUACCUCCAGAAGGAUCAUGCUUGCGCCACAGUGUACCACCAGAUCAUUGUUGUCUAAACAAAAAGGAAGGUCUUAAUGUCAAGCAAACUGCAGAGAAUGGAGACUGUCUCACAUCUGGAAGGUCUCAGACUCACCUGGAACCCUGUUAUACACCGAGGAGCAGUUAUAGGCCGAGUGAACAGGCUGCAGAACGAGAGCCAGUGCACAUAAGCAAAGGCACAGCAUCAUUCCUGCUGUGGAACAAAGGCAGAACAUGACUAAAAAGUCACCUAUUUAAAAGUCGUCCAACAUCACAAUAACAAUGAAGGUCAAGGGGAAAAUGUCUGGAAAUAAAAAAGGACAAAAAAACAAACCACAAAGACGAAGAGGAAACAGGCUGUUGAAAAACUGUGUUUCCUUUCCUGACUGGCUUCCUAUUCCUGAGGAUAGUGUGUGUCUGACUGUGAGCUGGCAGGGUCAGCAGCAGUGACUGGGCUCCUUUGACUUGCAUAGAACAGGCAGUCACCCUCAUAAAAAGUCAUCUUACUUCCUCUGUCAGUUUGCUUGUGAGCCAAAUAAAACUGGUCCCUCUGCACAUGUCUCCGAACUGAUUUUUUAUGAAUUAGAAACUACAGUGAUUACACACCAGUGAUUGAUGCUUAUGCGCUAAAAGAUAAAGCACAUGCCACAUGGUUACUUAUCACUUAUCUCCUGCAACAUAUUUAACAUACAAAACUCAAAGCACUACAAAUUAAAAACAAUUUAGAAUUAAAAAAAAAAAAACCUAGCAUAUGACCGCUCUGAAGCAAGGGAGUCGUGUAACAUUAGCAACACAUUAUUAGCUGUUUGAUAACGUAGUCGGGCAAAAGGCUAAUCAUAUUAAUUACUGUUAUGUGUCCGACGUUGUAAAAAAACAAAAUCAUUGUGCAGCAUUGACCUCACUAAGUUGACCGAGUGGAUCUCUGAGUGAGUGGAGGCGGGGCUAAUUAGCAUAUUCAUCCGCUAAGACCUUAUGCGCCAGAGA